UGAGGAAUAUUGGUCAAUGGGCGGAAGCCUGAACCAGCCAAGUCGCGUGAGGGACGACGGUCCUAUGGAUUGUAAACCUCUUUUGCCGGGGAGCAAAGACAGCCUUGCGAGGCUGUCGGGAGAGUACCCGGAGAAAAAGCAUCGGCUAACUCCGUGCCAGCAGCCGCGGUAAUACGGAGGAUGCGAGCGUUAUCCGGAUUUAUUGGGUUUAAAGGGUGCGUAGGCGGGAUGUUAAGUCAGCGGUAAAAUUGCGGUGCUCAACGCCGUACAGCCGUUGAAACUGAUAUUCUUGAGUGGGCGAGA
rnacentral:rRNA from 1 species